ACUUCCCAGCGGGAUAAUGGUUCACUGCUUACAUUUUUCUUUGAAGAAUGCUUCGAAGAAAAUUUUAUGUACAAUUCUUCGAUACCAGGUAAUGCAUAAAAGUAAGCUAUGCGGAAUAAUGGUUCCCCGCUUACAUUUUUCUUUGAAGAAUGCUUCGAAGAAAAUUCUAUGUAGAAUUCUUCGAUACCAGGUAAUGCAUAAAAGUAAGCUAUGCGGAAUAAUGGUUCCCCGCUUACAUUUUUCUUUGAAGAAUACUUCGAAGAAAAUUCUAUCUAAAAUUCUUCGAUACCAGGUAAUGCAUAAAAGUAAGCUAUGCGGAAUAAUGGUUCCCCGCUUACAUUUUUCUUUGAAGAAUACUUCGAAGAAAAUUCUAUCUAAAAUUCUUCGAUACCAGGUAAUGCAUAAAAGUAAGCUAUGCGGCUAAAUUCUACUGUGUUCAUAUUUACAAGUCAACAAAAAGUUGGUUACUAUUUGGUAAGUAUUUCGUGUUUUUAACAUUGAAGGACAUAGCUUCAAAUUUAUAAACAUACUCUUUCAACUUUUUUGUAGAAUGUGUGAAAGUUGAAGGCUUCACCGAAUCGGAGUAUAUUCACCAAAUUCAAAAAGUUAUCAAACUCGCCAAACGCAGUUUCUUCAAGUCUCGUUGCUUGAAAAAAACGGCAAGAGACUCAGCCACAAAAUUAAAAGAAAACCAUAAUGGCUAAAUGAGUAGCGACCAACAUCUCCGCUUUGGCAGCAUCCCGGUUCUUUCCGCUAGUUACCCGUCUGUAUAUAUGUAUAUUUAACGUUUUUAAAACUGUUUUCAACCUUUGAUCAUUUUAUAUAUACAUACAUACAUAUACAUAUAAUAUGUAUUUAACGUUUUUAAACUAUUUAAAUUUGUAAUAAUUCGGUUCAUUUAAACACAUUUUGUUAUAACAAUUUUUAAGUGCAUUUCGCAUAAAAUAAAACCUUUAUAACGAUUGUAUUGAA